AGACGGGGGGGGCUAGCGUUGUUCGGAAUUACUGGGCGUAAAGGGUGCGCAGGCGGCCUGGGAAGUCUUGGGUGAAAGCCCCCAGCUCAACUGGGGAAUGGCCUGAGAAACCACUGGGCUGGAGUGCUGGAGAGGGAAGCGGAAUUCCCGGUGGAGCGGUGAAAUGCGUAGAUAUCCGGAGGAACACCAGAGGCGAAGGCGGCUUCCUGGACAGACACUGACGCUCAGGCACGAAAGCUAGGGGAGCAAACGGGAUUAGAAACCCCGGUAGUCC
rnacentral:rRNA from 1 species